rnacentral:sRNA from 1 species
CUGGCAAAGGCCUGCUCUCAUCAAUGUGUGGUUUCCAAAGUCACCCUGUCCAUCUCCAUUCCAGCCAGCUGGAAGGGGAAACCAAGUGGGAAUGUGUGCCCAAGUUUUACAACCAAACAUCCAGAAUGGUACGUGUCACUUCUCCCACAUUCCAUAAGGCUAGAACUCAGCCCCGCAACCUAGUUUAACUGCAGGGGAGGCUGGGAGAUGUCAUCUAGUUGUAACCCAGCGAGAAAGCUACUGGACAACUAGAUUUCUGCACAGGAGAUCUCCAGAGCUCCAUUAGAGAUUAUCAUGUGUGUUCAUCCCAUUUCUAAAGAUGCCAAAGUGCACUGGCACUUAAGGUUCACUUACAUGGCUGGGUUUUUGAGGUUGAUGGCUGCCUUUAUCUUCCAGUAUGAUUACUGCCCAGGAAAACACUCUGUUGCAUGAACUAAAGGACUGUUUUAUAGUGACCAAAAAAAGUGGGGAGGGGGGAUCUCUCGAGGGCUUUUCCUAGGAAUCCCAAAUUUCUAGCUAUCCUGAAUCUUGUAGAACUCCUACACGCAGACUGUGAAAUCAUUACUAUCAGGGGCUUACUAAAUAAUAAAUAUGAUCUAUUACCUUGAGCUAAUUUCAUAGAAAUACGGCUGUUUUGUGUUUUUUUAAAGAGCUGCAGAGGUCUUCCGUGAUUCUCUAGUCUAUGUGUUCCUUGUCUAGAUUGAGUAAUGAAAUUGUGAAGUGUAAUUGCUGCUUAACACAGCCAAGCUCUCCCGUGGCUGAUUGUCUUGCUUUGCUUUCUUAGGGUUUAAAUGCGGUAUUUGACAUCUUGGUGAUAGGCAGAUUCAAUGUUCUGGAAAUUGUCCAGAAGGUACUACAUAAGGACAAGUCAUUAGAGGUGAGUCUGUACUUUUAUCUCCAGCCCAGACAUGGAAAAUGUCAAGUACCAGCUGAUUUAAAAUGCCAUUCUCAAAUAUUCCUUGUGAUUUUGAAUUCUACAAUAACCAGCCUUUUAAAGCACAGUGUUGAAGCAGUUCAGGCAGAAUUGCUGCACAUCUGUACCUGGCUCAGCCACACUUUUAUUUGAAAAUCAGCCACCUCUGGGGCUUUGCGAUGUCCUUGCAGAAUCUCGGCAUGCUCAGGAACGGGGGCCUCCUCUUCAGAAUGACCCUGCUCACGUCUGGAGGGGCUGGGAUGCUCUACGUGCGCUGGAGGAUCAUGGGCACGGGCCCGCCGGCCUUCACCGAGGUGGACAACCCGGCCUCCUUUGCUGACAGCAUGCUGGUGAGGGCCAUAAACUACAAUUACUACUAUUCAUUGAAUGCCUGGCUGCUGCUGUGUCCCUGGUGGCUGUGUUUUGAUUGGUCAAUGGGCUGCAUCCCCCUCAUUAAGUCCAUCAGCGACUGGAGGGUAAUUGCACUUGCAGCACUCUGGUUCUGCCUAAUUGGCCUAAUAUGCCAAGCCCUGUGCUCUGAAGACGGCCACAAGAGAAGGAUCCUUACUCUGGGCCUGGGAUUUCUCGUUAUCCCAUUUCUGCCCGCGAGUAACCUGUUCUUCCGAGUGGGCUUCGUGGUCGCGGAGCGUGUCCUCUACCUCCCCAGUGUUGGGUACUGUGUGCUGCUGACUUUUGGAUUCGGAGCCCUGAGCAAACAUACCAAGAAAAAGAAACUCAUUGCCGCUGUCGUGCUGGGAAUCUUAUUCAUCAACACGCUGAGAUGUGUGCUGCGCAGCGGCGAGUGGCGGAGUGAGGAACAGCUUUUCAGAAGUGCUCUGUCUGUGUGUCCCCUCAAUGCUAAGGUUCACUACAACAUUGGCAAAAACCUGGCUGAUAAAGGCAACCAGACAGCUGCCAUCAGAUACUACCGGGAAGCUGUAAGAUUAAAUCCCAAGUAUGUUCAUGCCAUGAAUAAUCUUGGAAAUAUCUUAAAAGAAAGGAAUGAGCUACAGGAAGCUGAGGAGCUGCUGUCUUUGGCUGUUCAAAUACAGCCAGACUUUGCCGCUGCGUGGAUGAAUCUAGGCAUAGUGCAGAAUAGCCUGAAACGGUUUGAAGCGGCAGAGCAAAGUUACCGGACAGCAAUUAAACACAGAAGGAAAUACCCAGACUGUUACUACAACCUCGGGCGUCUGGUAAGCUCGGGAUGCCCUGUGCCUGUGGAAGGAAGGAUGGGUUAUUUUUCUUAUUUAUAAUAAAAUGACAUAGUGACACCCACCUAGCCCAUACAUUUUAUAAAGUUCUUUCGCAUGUUUCUAUCUCAUUUGAAGGUAGCUGUUUGAUUUCCUUUUGAGUAAUUUUUUAAAGCUCUCAUUAGAGAGCAGUACAGUGUGAAUUAGUCAAGUUUAAGAGGUCACCCACGCAAAAGGUUAAACCAAGGAAUAAAUUAACAUGUUAAAAUCCCGUUCGCCCUGUAAAACAGUGCUCCAACGGGUAACUUCCUGAUAAACAUCAGUUUCUCUGUUUUUAAAACAAGAAUUGAGUAAGAACAGAGAUUAAAGUAACAAAUCCUUAGUAUGAUUUCUGAGCUCCCUUGUUCUCCUUCUUCAAGGGAGCAGAGCUCUUCAUCUGCAGGGAGCAUUUCCCCCAAAAAAGGCAGCUUUGGAGGGCACGGGAUUUAUUUGAAAGGGCUUUGACAUUAUUUGAUGGAAAUAGAAAAUAACGUGUUCUGUAGUAGCUUUAUAUUUUUGGUUAUUGAAAGGAUGUUUAUGAAGAUCUGAUUGCUCUUGAUUUUCUGACAAAAAUAAAAUGAGACACAC